CUCCUGAAGGCCAUGGGAAGACCAAAAUUCUACACUACAAUUGUGGUCCAUUUGUCUUUGCACCCAGGGGAGGGCAUCCCUGCUGCAAGGCCUUGGCAUGGUUUAUGAGUUUUCUCAGCAGCCAAGUGUUCUGUCUCUGUCUCCAUCUCCACCCUCCCUCCCUCUCCUCUGCCAUAUCUUUCCCAAUGUCCACCUUACUGGAUCACCACUUUCCAAAAUGGCUCCAACUCUCUGACAGGUCAUUUCUAUGGAGCAGAGGGCAGCCCACUCCGAAAGGUUACAGAUGAUCAGACUCAUUGUUGAUGCAAUCCGAAUGCACUGCCCAAAUCCCACCAGAGCUGAAUGUACUCAGAUCACCAAGAAGUUGUUGCUCAAUAUCCCAAAACUUUAGCUGAUUUCACAGAUGAGGGAGACCUCUUGGGUUCUGCUUACACUUACCUCCUGAAUCAGAUCAAAACAAGAGUAGAACAUGUCAACAGGGACAAUACGCUCUCUAGAAUUUGAAGACAAAAGAGGACAAACGAGAAUGAUGGUGAUGCCACCCAACCCAGAAAUACCUGCAGUCAAGUGGACAGUUAUAGAUGCAUCAACUGGCAAUCUCAUAACCUGCCUGAAGGAGAGACAGUAGAUUCUCUUGAGGUCAAGAGGCAGAUGUUAGUGACGCUAUACAGGAAGGAAGGACCCAGGGGGGCAGAGAGAGUGAUGGUUGACGACAUCAUGCACAUAAUGUGCCUAAAGCAGUGCGAACUCAUCAACUCCAGUCCUCCUCCCAUAGUCAGUGAUGUUAUGCAAGAGUGGUCCUUUCUUUUCCAGAAAAGAUAGCUCUGUUCUCACUUUGAAAAGCUGACUGGGAUUGACAAUCUCUCGAGACUGACCGAGGCACUGCAGAAUAAAGGCAGGCGAGUCAUCAACUACUUCUAGCAUCAGAUGUUGAAGUGGAGAGGAGAGAUUCAGUCUCUGCUGACCGAGAUGGAAAACAACUCAGGGAUGCUACAAGAUCAAGAUUUGAUGGCGACUAUCUCUUGAUGGCCUUCUUCAGGGAGGCGAUGGAAUCCCUGUUCAUGCUGGCCGAUGUCACUGCAACCCAGGCAGACAUUGAGGCUCAUCAGAUGAUACCAGACACACCGAGGCUCAUUAUGCUUGGACAUUCACUCUUGACAGUAUGCAGGUGGAGGGGAAUGGAGGUGAGGGAAAUGUCGUCAUGAUGCUGGACAGCAGUGACAACUUUGCAGCUGCCUUCAUGGUGCUCUUUGCAAGCUACUACAUCUUCACCAUGUAAUACCAGGAGGCUGCUGCAUGUACUCUGGAGCUUGUU